UACGAAGGGGCUAGCGUUGCUCGGAAUCACUGGGCGUAAAGGGCGCGUAGGCGGUGUGUCAAGUCAGGCGUGAAAGCCCCGGGCUCAACCUGGGAACAGCGCUUGAGACUGGCACGCUCGAGUUCGGGAGAGGAUGGUGGAAUUCCAGUGUAGAGGUGAAAUUCGUAGAUAUUGGGAAGAACACCGAUGGCGAAGGCAGCCAUCUGGACCGACACUGACGCUGAGGCGCGAAGGCGCGGGAGCGAACGGG
rnacentral:rRNA from 1 species